UACGUAGGGUGCAAGCGUUAAUCGGAAUUACUGGGCGUAAAGCGUGCGCAGGCGGUUAUGCAAGACAGAUGUGAAAUCCCCGGGCUCAACCUGGGAACUGCAUUUGUGACUGCAUAGCUAGAGUACGGUAGAGGGGGAUGGAAUUCCGCGUGUAGCAGUGAAAUGCGUAGAUAUGCGGAGGAACACCGAUGGCGAAGGCAAUCCCCUGGACCUGUACUGACGCUCAUGCACGAAAGGCGUGGGGAGCAAACAGG
rnacentral:rRNA from 1 species